GCCGAGUGUGGUGGUGUGUGCCUGUAGCCUCAGAUACUUGGGAGGCGGAGACAGGAGGAUCCCUUGAGUCCAGGAGUUCUGGGGUUUAGUGCACUGUGCUGAUCAGUGUCUGCACUAAGUUUGGUAUCAAUAUGGUGACUUCCUGGGAGUAGGGGGGCCACCAGGUUGCCUAAGAAGGGGUAAAUCGGCCCAGGUUGGAAAUGGAGCAGGUCAAAGCUCUCGUGCUGAUUAGUAAUGGGAUUGUGCCUGUGAAUAGACAUAGCACUUCAGCCUGGGCAACAUAAUGAGACCUUGUCUCUA
rfam:Otolemur garnettii contig053870, whole genome shotgun sequence.